CUUGCCUGUGUUAUUGAUGGGUCAUUCUCUGUCCGGGGCUUGAAGAAGAACUGGGGGGAGCUGCACCAUCAGUACCAGGGACUCUGUUGUCAUGGACACCACCCCCAAGAAGUACUGCAAGGAGCGUCUGGAGAUUAAGCAGCUGGAGAGGGACAUUGACCUCAUCAAGCGAUACAAGACCAUCUACAUCGCCAACAACAACGAACACCUCUUAAGUCUCUAUGGCAAAUGUCAGAAUUGUAAACAGAUAUUCAGUAAGGAAAAAAAACAUAUGCCCUGAGUGCUAGAUAUGAAAUUGUCUGGCAAAUUGUCAUAUCCCUCUCACUGUCUCUGUCUAUGAUUUCACAUUGUUUUGGUAAACUAAAUUAACUCUGCACUAUAUUUAAAUAUAUUUUUGAAAAUCUGCUUACAACAGUUUAGACAUAUUACUACAUACUACGUCAUGAUGUAAUCCUUGUAGGUCAUUGUACAAGAGCCUUGAAUGAGCCUAUACUUAUCUGGUCUUUUGCCACAGUUUCUUGAACCAAAUUAUUUCCUUUUAAGCAAGCAUCCGUGCCUACAGGAAAACUACUACAUGAAAUCACAUGCAGCUGAUUAUCCACCCCCGUGGAUCUAAUUGUGCCAUUCGGUGGUUUAUUCAGAAGGACUGGAAAACAACAACCACCUCUUUUUAGUCACACUAAUGACUUUAGCAUGACCACAGCAUGCUUGAUUUGUUGGCUAGUUUUGAGUUUCAGCCUAAAAUUGCACAAAUAAUCUCUCUUUAUAAAGUGGAAAAGUUGUCAUAAUACAGGGCGGGUUUACUUCGAGGAACACUUACUUCACCGUUAUCUUGCGUGUGAUUGUAGUAAUUUGUUCGCUCCCCUUCAGUCCUUGUCUGCUGACUGAUUUUUUUACUUCAACUGUCUGUCAUCGCGGAAAAACAUCAUGGCAGAAUGCGUUCCAUCCAGAGCCACGGGAAUGGAAGGAGGAAUUGUGAUUAAAGAUGAUUGGCCCGGAUACAGUUUAGAGCUCUUCACUUAUCCAGAGCAUUACCGCGAAGAUAUAGAGAGUGUCUACAUUCCACAUGGGGUUAUCAUGGACAGGACAGAGCGCCUGGCCCGACACAUCAUGGAUGACAUUGGGGAUCAUGACAUGGUGGUGCUGUGUGUACUGAAGGGAGGGUACAAGUUCUGUUCCGACCUGGUGGAGUUCAUUAAGGUACAAUGCCGCAACUCCAACAAGCACCUGGAGACCAGAGUGGAGUUUAUUAGGCUUAAGAGCUACCUGAAUGACCAAUCAACAGAGGACCUGCACAUAAUAGGAAGUCAAGAUCUAUCUGUUCUACGAGGCAAGAAUGUCUUGAUUGUAGAGGCUAUAGUCGACACAGGAAAGACAAUGAAGGCGCUUCUGAAGCAUGUGGAGGCCUUUGAACCCAAGAUGGUAAAGGUCGCCGGUCUGCUGGUGAAAAGGGUCUCUAAUGUGGUUGGAAGCCUUCCAGACUGUAAAUGUGGGGUUUGAAAUUCCCAACCGUUUUGUCGUGGGCUAUGCUUUGGACUACAACGAGUAUUUCCGUGACCUGAAUCAUAUCUGUGUCAUAAGUGAGAUUGGAAAGGUGAAGUACAAGAUUUGAAGAGAAGUCAAAACAUACAUGGGUUGUUCAGAGUUGCAGUUUUCAACUUGUGGCUGCAAGUGCCUUCCCUUCUCAUAUCUUCUUCCGUGCUCUGUUGAGGAUUAUUGUUAGUUUAUUCAUUUCAUAAGAAGAAACACACCUUGCAUGUGCUUUAUGCAAAAACAAAUAUGAGAUCUGUGUUAUUCAUGCUACAUACAACCUUGAUUUCCACAUUUUAAGAGUUUUUUUUUUACAUAUGCUAUUGUUUUUGUGAACAUCAUAUUACAUUGUUAACAGAAUAUGCUUUUACAUAAUAUGCAUUUAUAUGUAUUUGUAAAAUACUAAUUUUGUCCCCAAUGAUCUAAUAUGUGCCAAGCACAAAGAAAUAAACUAUGCAAUUUUGAAU